rnacentral:rRNA from 1 species
UACAGAGGGUGCAAGCGUUGUUCGGAAUUAUUGGGCGUAAAGCGCGCGCAGGCGGCUAUCCAAGUCAGUGGUGAAAGCCCGGAGCUCAACUCCGGAACUGCCAUUGAAACUGUUUAGCUUGAGGACGAGAGAGGUGAGUGGAAUUCCCAGUGUAGAGGUGAAAUUCGUAGAUAUUGGGAAGAACACCGGUGGCGAAGGCGGCUCACUGGCUCGUAUCUGACGCUCAGGCGCGAUAGCGUGGGGGAUCAAACAGG